AACGGUCUAUACCUGCGGUACCUGCGGAAGGAUCAUCAAAGAAUUUUAAAACCUUAGGGGGUUCUUUUCUCUUACCUAAGAGAUAAAAGAACUCUCUAACAAACAAACGAUCACAACUAUUGAGGAGAGAGAUUGGAUUCUCUGGGGGGAUGGAUGAUAAAAGUGUUUGCCUGAUAAUGAUUGACUUGGAAACAGUAACAGAAAUACAACUUUCAACAAUGGAUCUCUAGAUCGGAAGAG
rnacentral:misc_RNA from 1 species